GACGGAGGGUGCUAGCGUUGUUCGGAAUGACUGGGCGUAAAGGGCGCGUAGGCGGCCGCUUGCGUCGGAUGCGAAAGCCCGGGGCUCAACCCCGGAACGGCAUCCGAUACGGGGCGGCUCGAGACCGAGAGAGGUGAGUGGAAUACCCAGUGUAGAGGUGAAAUUCGUAGAUAUUGGGUGGAACACCGGUGGCGAAAGCGGCUCACUGGCUCGGUUCUGACGCUGAGGCGCGAAAGCGUGGGGAGCAAACAGG
rnacentral:rRNA from 1 species